CCCUAGUCCCCUCUUCUCUCCUCCGGAUUCUUUGCCUCUCGAGCCCUCUCCUCCAGACCUCCACCUCCACCCUCUCCUCCUCCAUGCGAACAAGUUCGGCCUCCCCGUCGACGGCCACCGCGGCAUCUCGAGGACCACACUCCACCGUCCGCAACUUCUCCUUAGUUAGGGACUUAGGGUUAGGGUUUGUGCGCCGCCCGAGCUCUAUUCCUUCCCUCAGUCUCUCUCAUCUCCUCUCCUCCGGAUUCUUCGCCUCCUGAGUCCUCUCCUCCGGACCUCCGCCUCCGCCCUCUCCUCCCUCGUGCUGACAACUUUGGCCUCCCCGUCGACGGCAACUGCGGCGGCUCAAUGGGUCCUGGGAACCAAGGUUGAACGGAAGAGCUCAUAAAGAGGUCGGAUCCUCUACUCUACCAAGUCGCCUCUGAAUCUGCUUUUAGUAUUGGUGGGCGAGUACUUGAUAAGUUUCGUAGUUCUCUUAAACCGAAUAUUGUCGAGGCCUUAAUUUGUACUCGAGAUUGGGUGUUCGAAAAGAAAGAUGUUGAGGAGGCCGAGUUGGAUGAGACUGUAGAAGAUGUCAUAAACUCAAGUUCCUACAAUGAAACUCAAUCAACUCAAUGCUCGGCCAAUGUUGAAUCUAAUUCAUAGUGAGAUGAAUCAUGAUCAUGGAAACUCCUUUUUGGUUUUGGUUUAGAUAUGGAUGUUGUUAUUGUUUCUUUCUUUCUUUAGUUUUGCUUUGACUAUGGAUGGUGUCAUUGGACUUAUGGAGUUAUGGACCUUAUGAUGGUGGUUAUACAAUAUUAAGUUGAUAUUUAUAGCUAUUUGGUAGUUUCUUAUUCAAUAUAUGAUUACUUUAUAGAAACUAUGAAUCUUGUUGUUUUCAUCUAUCUCAUUCUUAUGUUAUAAUGAGACAGGUUCAUUCUUAUGUUAUUCAAUAUAGCUAUUUGGUAGCUAUUCUUAUGUCCCACUUGGUUCCUCAUCCUGUCUGGAUGUAUAUAAGGUAACCAUUCAUGUAGCUAUAAAUGAAUGGAGAUCUAAUCAUUUAGCUUGAGACCAGAUUCCACUUGGUUCCUCAUCCUGUUUGGUUUAUCUAUUUAGCUUGAAAUCUGAUUAUUUAGACGUUCAGGCGAACUCUCCCUAGUGUUGGCGUGACUCAUUUGUGCCCGAUAUGAACUUAAAUUGUGAUCUGAAGUUGGUGCAGGCAACUGGUACUUGAUCUGUUCGAUCACAUAACUUUUGUCCCCUUAUAUUGAGUAAGUUACAGAGUGAUGUUUUGAGGGAGCAAUCUCUCAGAUUGCAAAUGAUUCUCGGGAGAAGAAGCGCAAUUUUACUGAAACCAUUGAGCUACAAAUUGGUCUGAAAAACUAUGACCCCCAAAAAGAUAAGCAUUUCAGUGGAUCUUAUGUUUACCUAAUAUGAUUUUUAAUGGCAAACAUCAAACAAAUAACUUGUCUAAUGCAUUUGUAUUCAGGGCCUGGUUGUUCUUCUAUUGGCAAUUGGAGCUGAUGCUUAGGGCUACACAACAAUAUAAAUUUAAUUGGAGAUAUAUCGAUGCUCGACCUCUUAGUUGUUUAUGACAAUGAUAAGCAGCGGAUUGGAUGGGCCAGCGCAGAGCCGCAGACUGUAGUAGGGCUUUCAAGUCUGUAACUUACCCGUUGGAAAGAUUUACGUCCUUCUUGAAAGGGUUGACAAUAAGACGAAGACAUGAGCAUCCAUUGUCUCUGACUCGAUGUUUGCAUGCAUACAUGCAGAACAUAGAAUGAAACCUUUCUUACUCUAUUAUCUGAUGAUGUAAUAUUAAAUACAUCAAAAUUUUCAUCUUUUCUCUGUGAGUAUUUUGUUGCUGCGCUAUCUUUACACUGUAAGCUCUUCGAAUAAGGGAAUGGGAGCAGCGCUUUGCAUUGUGCGCUGAACAUAAAAACAUGGCCUCUUUUUGCACAAACUGUAAUGAAUGGGAUAUGUUUU